CUUUUCAGCAUUCCAUUGCUCAUUUCCUCAUUUUUCACACCCUGGCUGUUGAGCUUUUCUCCCCUCUUCUCUAUAGCCUCGAGCCCAGAGCCAUGAGAGCUUUCUUCCUCUCUCUUCUUCUCAAACCCUAACACAAAAUCGCUGCUCUCUAGCGAUUCCAAAAUCUUCCAAUGGUCCUGGAUUUGUUAAACUCAAAAACAAAUACCCAUCCGUGCCUCCAUAGCUGGAUUUCCGUCAUUUAUUCCCAAAUCUCCAUGUCUCUGCAAAUCGAAGCUCUAAUCCAUCGAAUCAAAGUCCCAGUGCACAACAAGGUUCAACCAAGAAGUGAUGCAAAAGCCCAAAAAUCCGUGCAUGAGGUCAAUCUACGUAUUGGCUAGAUGAAUGUACUCCCCAUUGUGUUGCUUGGAUCCCACCCUCAAACUUCAAUGUAAUUAUAUUUUGAAUGAAGUGUGAGAGAGUGAAAGAGUGAAAGGGAUCCAUUAGCAUAGAGGUCUUCUCAGCAUCUCCACUGUGAGUAUCCAUGUACCUCAUCCGUGCUCCUUCUGUAUCCUGUGCUUGCAUUUGUGUUGAAUUUGACUCCCAUGAAUAUUCUUAAUUUCUUAUGAAUGUGAUGAUGAAUUUUGUUGUGA